GCCUGGGUGGCUCAGUUGGUUAAGCGUCCGACUUCGGCUCAGGUCAUGUUCUCAUGGUCCGUGGGUUCGAGCCCCGCAUCGGGCU
rnacentral:tRNA from 1 species